rnacentral:lncRNA from 1 species
UCCGAAAUUUCGAACGAACGAAGAUUGUUUGACGUUUAUUGUCUAUAAACCUACUCUAAUUCGAAAUGCUACGAACGAAUAUUUGAGUUUGACAGACGAAACUUCGGAAUUUUAACCUCAAAUUCAACGAAACCAAAAGAGUUAUCGUUUGAUUUUCGUGUUACUUUUCGUUUUGUGAUUUUUGUGUGAAAAUUAUUGGCAAAGGCUACAAUAAUGCUUUUAAUCAAAGCAGCUUUACGUGAAGAUCGUGUAGAGCGAAGAACGAACCGGCAGUGCUUGCGCAAUCAAUUAAAUAUUAGCGAAAUUCCCGACGUAGAGUUUGUAGGAAAUCACAGACUCAGUCGGAAAUUUUUCGAAGGGUUGUGCCAGGAAUUCGUGCCUUUAUUACCUCCAAACAAUGCAUAUUGCCAUUGCUAGACCUUCUGGAAUCGAAAAUAUUUCCAUUCUCUUAACACCCAAGUUAUAUGUGACAGUGAUUACUAUAUAACAAAUGUGGAUGUAACAUUUGGUGGAGCAACACAUGAUGCUUAUAUUUGGAGAGAGUGUGAUAUUAGAAGCCACUUGAAGGGUCUCCAGAAUGAAACAGUUUAUCUGUUAGGUGACUCUGGGUAUGCUCUAAGGGAGCAUAUGAUGCCACCUAUAGAUAAAGCUGUUGAAGAUUCUCUUGAAGGCAGUUACAACUUUGCAGAGCUUUGUUAGUGCACAUUUUAGAAAAGAAUAGGUAGGACAAAGUU